rnacentral:rRNA from 1 species
UACGUAGGGUGCGAGCGUUGUCCGGAAUUAUUGGGCGUAAAGAGCUCGUAGGCGGUGUGUCGCGUCGGUCGUGAAAACUUUCAGCUUAACUGGGAGCUUGCGGUCGAUACGGGCAUCACUGGAGUUCGGCAGGGGAGACUGGAAUUCCUGGUGUAGCGGUGAAAUGCGCAGAUAUCAGGAGGAACACCGGUGGCGAAGGCGGGUCUCUGGGCCGAUACUGACGCUGAGGCACGAAAGCGUGGGGAGCAAACAGG